GUUAAAGAGCAAUGCAAUUUGAUUUUAAGGGAUCGACAUCGCACGUCUGGAUAACUGUACUCUGGUGUGCGUUCGGUGCAUUUAUUUUAGGUGCCAUAGCUGUCAUAUCGUAUUGGAUACGAAAAUGCAGGAUACAACGGGGCAACCACCACACAACAACAACAAUAAUAAUUCACAGCACCAAAAACAAAAAGACCAAAGUCAUCUUCAACAACAACAAUCACCUCCUCCUCCAACAUCCCAACAACAACAACAACAGCAACGUUCCGUGUCGAUUUUCGUCUAUAAAACGCUUAACACGGUUUUCAAGAGUAGUCGAAAGAUCAUUUUCCGCGUUUGUGAAGUUGCAAGUGCCAAAAAGUCCCUUAAAAUGUUUAAUUUAUAUUCUUCGAUGAAAAAUCGCGGUGAAGGUAACGGGCCUACCACAGGACACGAUCGAUUUUGUCAAACCCGUCUAACGAACAGAACAAAGAGACGUAAAAAUUCAAAAAACGUUCGUCGAACCAAUUCAGCCAACGAAAUCGAUCACACCGUCCUGACAGCGGCUGCCCGGCGUCAACUGUUUAGUAGUCAUCGAUCGGCCAGUUCAGAUCUAGAAAACUCAGAUCAUUCGGAACAUUCGGAAAAAUCGCCACUAGUCAGUGUCAGGCUAGAUAGUUUGGCUAAGAUAUUUUUCAACAAAUCAACAACGCCAUCAACAAACGGCACUACUAAUCGGGACUCGAUUGACUCAACAACGACAAGACCAAAUGUAAAAUACCAAUAUACAGCUUUAGAUAGCGGUAAUGGAAUACAGGAACGUAGCCCGCGAGAGAGAGCUGCCCGUGACCGUGCAUUGAGUGCCUGCCAAGAAUGGAUACAAAAUACAAAUGGUCGUUACGAUAUUAUUGCCCAUCUUGAUGAAAUCGGAUCACGACACAAUAAAAAUUGGUUUUUAAUAAAUGACACUACGGUACGAACUGAUCGUUUAAUGACAUUACUUCCGUUACCUCCAGACUGUAUUGCCUUAGAAGAACUGCCGCCAAGCGAAACACCUAAAGGAUUAUUUAUGGAACUUUUAGGAUCCUUACAUCAUCCAUACAUCUAUCCAGUUUUAGAUUUAGGAUUUUUACAUGCCGAUUCAAUUAAUUAUGCUUGUCUUGUAAUGCCCUUUAAUCCACGCGGAAGCCUUAAAGAUUUAAUUUAUAAAGCUCAAUGGAAUGAACCAUGGAAUCGUAAAUAUACGCGGAAACCAACAUGCCUCCCAAUUUCACAAGUACAACGAUUAGGUAGACAAAUUCUGGAAGCUUUACUAUUUUUACGUGAACGAGGAUUCGCAUUGCAUGGUCAUCUCCACAGCGGCAAUGUUAUCUUACAAAAUGGGGUGGCAAGGCUUUCCGGCUUGGAAAAUGGUUUAUUAGGUUUAAGUUCGCGAGUUAAUGCCGUUAUGUGGUCGCGCUCAAUUAGUGAUAUAGAUAAUAUCGAUAUAAUUUGCUUCGGACAUUUAUUGUAUGAAAUGUGCGUUGGAAGCGAACUGAAUACACCACAACCGUCCACAGCAUUUCUCGAAAUGGAGCUAGAUCGAUAUCCGCAGAUUUUAGAAGUCUUACAACUAAUAUUCGAACCACAAAACGGAAGCAAUGUUACCGUUGAAGAUCUAGUCCUUUGUGAUUUAUUUCGUAACAUCGAUUUGCGAGAACUCCGUGGUCCUUGCGUUAGUACAAUCAAACCCAGCUUAAGUAAAUCGACCUUAAAUCUUCUCCAAGCCGUCAAGAAGCGUCAAAGUGCAUCGUUGGGCGAAUCCUUCAGUGAAGCCAGUUCACCAUGUACGCCACCAUCCACCCCACGUGACCGGCGAACAGGGUUAGUUCGUACUAGUAAAAAACUGUCAUUUUUUUCAAAAUUUUAAAUGCAAGAACCUAACUAGGAGUAAACCCUAAAAUUAACAAAAAAAGGAUUUCAUUUUGAAAAGGAAAUGGUGUUGUGGUGUUCAUGUUGUGUCCGAACAAAAUGAAAAAAAAAAUUGAGUUUGAACGUUUUUUCCCUGUGUUUUCUAGUGUUCGUUAUCCUGUCCCUUACUUUGCGUUCUAAUCCUUGUCCUGUCAAAAGAAUAAAAUUUAAUUUUUUUAAUAAAGUUUUGAUAUUGCAUAAUUCCUCCCAGAAUUAUUUUAAUUAUCGUAAAUGAUAAUUUAUUUUUUGUAUAUUGUUUUUUGCAUGCAAGCAUUUUUUGUAAGAAUAUUUUUCUCGCUGCAUCCUCUGAAAAGUUUGAUUAUCGUUUAGUCUAAGAAUUUGUUAGAACUAAGUAUUGCCUAUAAUGAACGUUAAAAACUUGUAUGGACGUUAUUUUUUCAUUGGAGGUAAGAUUUCUUUCGAUAUUUCAAUUAAACAUUUCUUUUGUUGCUUGUGCUUUUUAAAUAUUGUGUUUUGAAUCGAUGUUUGUUGUAGAUUGAGAAUGUUUGAAACAUGUAUGUCGCUUUUACUAAAUGCAUGUUUAGGUGAGAGUAAUAUGCAUAAAAAAGCUUAGAUUGCUUCCAAUUUUAAGGACAAAAUUAUUGAACUGCAAGAAAAUCGCUCUAAUUCUUUUAACACUUCAAACAAUCAUGUAAAAUCAAUUAAUUUCCAAAGCACUAGAAGAUAGAUUAAAUAAAUAUGAUUUGACUACAAUAUGAACAAAAAACAUCCCCUUUACAAUUUUCUAUUUAUUUCAAAGAGAUUUUAUUUAAAAAAAUAAAAUAAAAAUAAUCCAA
rnacentral:misc_RNA from 1 species